GGCCUAAUGGUGUACCGGUAACAUGUCCUCUUUCAGUUCUCAUAGUGCUUGUGACUGUCUGAGGAAGCUCUCUGUUCGAUUCGGGGUCAGGCUA